CGAGUCGAACGGGAAUCUUCGGAUUCUAGUGGCGGACGGGUGAGUAACGCGUAAGAAUCUAACUUCAGGACGGGGACAACAGUUGGAAACGACUGCUAAUACCCGAUAUGCCGCGAGGUGAAACCUAAUUGGCCUGAAGAAGAGCUUGCGUCUGAUUAGCUAGUUGGUGGGGUAAGAGCCUACCAAGGCGACGAUCAGUAGCUGGUCUGAGAGGAUGAGCAGCCACACUGGGACUGAGACACGGCCCAGACUCCUACGGGAGGCAGCAGUGGGGAAUUUUCCGCAAUGGGCGAAAGCCUGACGGAGCAACGCCGCGUGAGGGAGGAAGGUCUUUGGAUUGUAAACCUCUUUUCUCAAGGAAGAAGUUCUGACGGUACUUGAGGAAUCAGCCUCGGCUAACUCCGUGCCAGCAGCCGCGGUAAUACGGGGGAGGCAAGCGUUAUCCGGAAUUAUUGGGCGUAAAGCGUCCGCAGGUGGUCAGCCAAGUCUGCUGUCAAAUCAGGUUGCUUAACGACCUAAAGGCGGUGGAAACUGGCAGACUAGAGAGCAGUAGGGGUAGCAGGAAUUCCCAGUGUAGCGGUGAAAUGCGUAGAGAUUGGGAAGAACAUCGGUGGCGAAAGCGUGCUACUGGGCUGUAUCUGACACUCAGGGACGAAAGCUAGGGGAGCGAAAGGGAUUAGAUACCCCUGUAGUCCUAGCCGUAAACGAUGGAUACUAGGCGUGGCUUGUAUCGACCCGAGCCGUGCCGAAGCUAACGCGUUAAGUAUCCCGCCUGGGGGAGUACGCACGCAAGUGUGAAACUCAAAGGAAUUGACGG
rnacentral:rRNA from 1 species